AGGCGGCCGGCGGGAGCGGGGCGCGCGGGGCGCCCGCCUUUGUUUCCUUUAACUCCUCGGGCCUGGGGGGGGGGGGCUUCUUGCUGUUUUAUACCUUUCCUUUUUUUUCCCUUCUUCUUCCUCCCUUUUUUUCAGACGCAUUUUUUUUCUUUCUUUCCCUUCUUUCCCCCCCUCUCUUUCCCCCCUUUUUCCUUCCGGCUUCGGCAACCGGGAGCGGCGGGGUUCGUGCACGCGGUGCUGCGCUCGCACCCCGCGGCCGCACAGGGGCCGUACCCGGCUGAUCGCGGGGGGGGGGUCCGGCAUCCCUUCGCCCCCGCGCCCGCAGCGCCGUGUUCCUCGCGUGAGAGCCUGUGAUCAGCGCCGGCCUCUCUGGGAAGCAACACCAGUCUCGUUCCAGAAGAACAAAAUAACAGCGUGAGGCUGAAACCUGGCACGGACCGGGGGAACGCGGCCAUCUGCCCCGCACCGCACGGAGCCCCGCGGCCGCGGAGCGGGCGGAGGGCGCAGAGCUCCGGUGCUGCCCUCCUCCUCCUCCUCCUCCCCUCCCUUCCUCGCUCCUUUCCCCGCUCCAUCCCUUCUUAGGGAAAAGCGGUUGAAAGGAGAAAGGCAGAGAGCACGAAUGGGUGCCCUCCCCGCGCUGCGUUGCCGGGGCCGUGAUCCUUAAGAGCUACAGAAGUGUGAGGUCUGAGAAGAGAGCACAACAGAUAUCAAACUGUGUCUGCAGCGUGGGUUUGGGAUUGCCGGGAAUGGCAGCACAUGGAACCAUGGCUACAUGCAUAUUCACCGAUGCGUAAACACGCACACUGCUCACAUGCCACUCUGAGUCUGGAUUUGCUUGGGAAUGCAAAUCCCUUUGUUUAAAAGAAAGGAAACAUUCUGCUUUUAGGAAGACAUCUAAUUCAAAGAAGUUUCUGCGUCACAGCUGAUCAGCAAUAAACAAAGGCAGAAUUCUUCAAAAGAG
ensembl:lncRNA